rnacentral:lncRNA from 1 species
UUUUUUUUUUUUUAGCAUAGUAACUAAAAAUGACAACCCUUCACAUAUUUGGCCAGCUGUUGGCUCUGUGCUAUGCUUGAUGUUGCAGCAAAUGUAAAAGACAAACAGCUUACUGUCUAGAAAGACUGAUGCGGCUGUGACUGGAGGCACAUGGUGGAUGCCAUGCGGAGGGCCAAGGACAAGGGCCGGAGGAGGAGUGGGAGCUGCUGCUGCUGGGGGGAGAGGGAAGAGCUGGAGAGGGUGGUGUGAGAAAGCAGCUGCCUCUGGGCAGGGCUCCAGAAAGGGAGCCAGACAAGUGACUAGGGGGUUCCAGGCAAGGUCCAGGCAUGGGAGUCCUGACAACAGACUUAGUGCAUUUGUGAAAUCCUGCAAAGGUCGGGCAGACAGACACCUGAGUUUAUAGUACUGGCUAGUAUUAAUAAGGGCCUCACCCAGAGUGGUAGAUUCUUCUCCUUUAUUUUUCAAGUUUUACUGAAAUGUACUUAUUUUUGAGACUGGGACUCACCCUGUCGCCCAGGCUGGAGUGCGGUGGUGUGAUCUUGGCUCACUACGGCCUCGAACUCCUGGGCUCAAGCGAUCCUCUCACCUCAGUCUCCCAAGCAACUGGGACAAGGUGCCACCACGCCUGGCUCAUUUUGUGUGUGUGUGUGUAGGGGUAGGUGUAGGUGGAAACUUUGUUGUCUAGGCUGGUCUCAAACUCCUGAGUUCAAGCAAUCCUCUUGUCUUGUGUAUUAGUCUAAUCUCACACUGCUAUGAAGAAAUACCUAAGACUGGGUAAUUUAUAAUGAAUGAGCCAAAAAGUAAGGAAGUUUAAUUGACUCACAGUUCUGCAUGGCUGGGGAAGCCUCAGGAAACUUACAAUCAUGGUGGAAGGCACCUCUUCACAGGGUGGUAUGGAAGAGAAUGACAAGUGAAGGGGGAAGCCCCUUAUAAAACCAUCAGAUCUCGUGAGAACAUACUCACUGUCAUGAGAAUAACAUGGGGGAACCGCCCUCAUGAUGCAAUUACCUCCUACCAGGUCCCUCCCACAACAUGUGGGGAUUAUGGGAACUACAAUUCAAGAUGAGAUUUGGGUGGGGACGAGGCCAAACCAUAUCACCUUGGCCUUCCAAAGUGCUGGGAUUAAAGGUGUGAGCCACUGUGUCCAGCCAUAGAAACUUAUGAUAAGUCAUGUUUCUUGUUUGAGAAAUAGCUACCAUGAGCGCUAUUAUUAUUAAAGCUAUAUAUUAUUAGAGAGCAGACAUCUCACUGUAUCUGCUGAUUUUAAAUGCAUUGAUCAUCUGAUACAAAGUACGGUAAGCUUGGAAACAAGUAAUUUAACAGCGGUAGAUGAUGCAGGUCGUAGUGGGC